UUAUCAUUCAGGCAUGUAGCUAAUGAGAGUGAAGAAUUUUGGUCAUGUUAAUUUCAGGAUUAAUCUUCAAUUAUAGCCCAAUGAGCAGGAUGGCUGGGACAAGCAAGCAGCCUUUCCCUGGAACAACUGGCACUCAACGUGAUCAACUGAAUCAAUAAAAUCUAUGAACUACAAAAGAAAUACUGGAAAUCCCUGAUCAUCUUCACAUCGGCUCACUCCUUCUCUGGAAACUAGCUUGUACGAAAAAUGCACAAAAAAA